UACGUAGGUGGCGAGCGUUACUCGGAAUUACUAGGCGUAAAGCGCGUGUAGGCGGGAGGUUAAGUCUGCUGUUAAAUCUCAUGGCUCAACCAUGAAAUGCCGGCGGAUACUGGCCUUCUUGAAUUCGGUAGAGGUGACUGGAAUUCCGUGUGUAGCGGUGAAAUGCGUAGAUAUACGGAAGAACGCCAAAGGCGAAGGCAGGUCACUGGGCCGCAAUUGACGCUGAGACGCGAAAGCUAGGGGAGCAAACAGG
rnacentral:rRNA from 1 species